UAUGUUACAGAUUUUACAUUUUUGUCACUAGUUUGUAGCAGAUUGGCAUCAUUUUGAAGAUAAAGAAGUCUUUGAAAUGCAACUGUCAAAUCUACAAGAACAGCUAGUUGCCACAAUUAUUACCAAUCAAAAACUAACCAAAGAAUUAAAAGAAUUGAAGGAAGAGCAAUAUGUUGGUCGACUCUUCAAACAACUGGAAGAACAAAAA